GAAAUGCGAUACUUGGUGUGAAUUGCAGAAUCCCGUGAACCAUCGAGUCUUUGAACGCAAGUUGCGCCCGAAGCCAUUAGGCCGAGGGCACGCCUGCCUGGGUGUCACACAUCGUUUCCCCAGUAUCGGAA
rnacentral:misc_RNA from 1 species